AAUGAACGUUGGCGGCGUGGAUUAGGCAUGCAAGUCGUGCGAGAACCUCCGGCUUGCCGGAGGGGACAGCGGCGAAAGGGACAGUAAUGUGUAGAUUAUCUGCCCUCAGGUCCGGGAUAGCUGUGGGAAACUGCAGGUAAUACCGGAUAACAUCUCCGGAUCAAAGGUGUGAUUCCGCCUGAGGAUGAGUCUGCAUCCUAUUAGCUUGUUGGCAGGGUAACGGCCUACCAAGGCGAUGAUGGGUAGCGGGUGUGAGAGCACGACCCGCGUCAUUGGGACUGAGACACUGCCCAGACAUCUACGGAUGGCUGCAGUCGAGAAUCUUCGGCAAUGGGCGCAAGCCUGACCGAGCGACGCCGCGUGCGGGAUGAAGGCCUUCGGGUUGUAAACCGCUGUCAGAGGGGAUGAAAUGCAUGGGGGUUCUCUCCCAUGUUUGACAUAGCCUCAGAGGAA
rnacentral:rRNA from 1 species